GUUCCCUAACCUUAGUAUCCGCACCAGUCAGUAGAUCUUCGGCGUCCACUUUGCGAAGUUUAGCAUUAUCAAGUGUUAAUAAAAAAUAAUUACACUGCGAAGUAGUUUCACUUUACGCUCGUUUGCGAAACAGCUCCUGUAAAUUACUACAGACAUAAAAAAAUAAGCUUUGUAGUUACAACAUUUAUAUUAUUUCAGGAUAACAGGGAAGCAUGAAUAGUAUAGCAGUCCUACUGUUCGCGUUAGCGUUGGUGGCGACGUUGAACUUUGCUUCAGCAUCUCCUAAAAAACAAACGGAAGAUAACGAUACUACGGAAUUGACGUCGGAAGGAGAUAACGAUGAAACAAAAACGACUGUAGAUGGACGAGCAGCAAGUCGGUAUCGCGUGGAAGACGUCGAGGAAGAAGAAAAGUUAGAGACGAGAAAAUCGACGAAUUUCAAGCAGCACAAUGCCAAAUUGCUUAGUCGAUUGGGCAUGAAACGAGUGUGGACCAAUAUAAACCACCACAGAAAAAGAUUAGCUAGUCAGUCGAGAAGCAAAUACGCAGCUAGCGAAAAAGGAGGUAUGGACUCGCAAUUGUUUAUGGUCAAAUUGCCACCGCAUUCAUAUUUCUACGAUGAAACCCAACACCCACACAAACAACAGCACGCAUCCAAUAGCGUCAACAAUAUUCCAGUGGGUUUCUUGUCGAAUGGUAAACCCGCCAAAGUGUACCACUGGAACUUGCCGACUGUUAAAAAAGCUUUACAAGGUCGAUAUAAGAGCAACGACGUUUUUCCCAUCGAUUACGAGCCAUCCCCAUCAAAAAUUUUGCCACGCCGAACGCUUUAUUAUAAACCCAAACCCGCCGGCAAGCCUGUCAAAAAAUCAUUUAUCAACAAUGGCAAACCAAACAGUUUCUACGUGGUCAGCAAAAAUAACGCGGUGCAACCGCAAUUCCACAAAAUUGUUAAAACCUAUUACAGCGACGAUAAUUAGUAUAGUAAAUUAACCUAAUACAGCUGCAUCUUAAGUCACUGUCCCGUCCAAAAGGAUUCACGUGGGAAAAAGCGCACAUAGUCUCAACAAGUGUUCAACGAGUUUUGUUAGAUCAUGCGCACAAAAAAAUACAACUUGCGUCCUUUUAUUUAUUUAUAAUAGUUUUUUUAGGUGUAUAUAUCUUACUGCAGUUUUUAUAUUAAUGUGUAACUAAUCUUAUUUAUUUUGUAUAAGGUCAAACGUAUAUUAAUACAUUAUACGUUUAAUAAUUGUAUCUAUUAUUAUUUAUAAGUAAUUUUGUACAUAUUAAUUGUCAUAUUAACAUUCUUAUUUUUUUAUAUUUAAACAAUAAUUUAAUCUAUAAAACUAUAUAUGUACGCUCAAUUUAUUAUUGUGUAUCAGACUGAUUUAACAGGAAAUAAUAAUUAAUGAGUUUUUUUUUACUAUAAUAAGUUUUUAACUUUAUUUUAAGUCUUAUACGUACUAAGUAUACAAAAUUUUAAGUGUGUAAUCACAUGAAAUAAAAGAGAGGUAUGAUCAUAGUCAUAGUGUGAUCAAAUUUCUUUUAGGGGAGUUAAAUUUAAUUUUUCGCCGCCAAUAAAUAUUUAUUUU